rnacentral:lncRNA from 10 species
GCCCGUGGGGGCAGGACAGCAGCCUCCCCGAGGCACAUGGCUGAGUGCUGAGCUGGGAAGGCACCAUCGUAAUGCCCUGGAGGGCCAGACUUGAAAUGAGAACUCUUACAAAACCACACCAGAGCACAGCCCACCUCCCUUCUCUUCCCUGACUGUGCCCCCCAGCAGAGGACCCUGGCCCACAGCCAAGCCACAUCCAUGCCACUCCUGCGAACAGCCACUUCCAGUGUUCACAGCCCCUAGGAUCCCUUUACAGUUUCUGAGCACAAGACUCCAACUUGCCCGCGUGAUUUCACUC